rnacentral:rRNA from 1 species
UGAUCCUGGCUCAGGACGAACGCUGGCGGCGUGCCUAAUACAUGCAAGUCGAGCGAAGUUUUAAAAGCUUGCUUUUGAAACUUAGCGGCGGACGGGUGAGUAACACGUGGGCAACCUGCCUAUAAGACUGGGAUAACUUCGGGAAACCGGAGCUAAUACCGGAUAAUGCUUUUUCUCACAUGAGAGAAAGCUGAAAGAUGGUUUCGGCUAUCACUUAUAGAUGGGCCCGCGGCGCAUUAGCUAGUUGGUGAGGUAACGGCUCACCAAGGC